rnacentral:lncRNA from 10 species
GUUUCUACUAGAAUACGUUUGGUCAGAAGCAGAAGUUGACCACAUGAUGGAAAAUACAAUUAUUAGCUCUUCUCCCUCAUAGGAAGAAGCUACGUCGCUUUCUGCAAGUCUCUUAACUCUUAAGGAACCUACACUCCCAUCUCCUACAUGAGCGGCAAUUGCUAGAAGAUGUCUCAGGUCACUUCAAGCCCUAAGUUGCUACAUUAACCCUGCACUGCUGUGGUCUCUAGACAACAAGAUAUUUGAAAAAGGACGGAAAUUGAAAUACUAUCUUUCCAUGGGAGCUGACAUUUAUUACUACGUUGACAUUUAUUACUAUUACUCAUUUAAUUUUACAGAAGUCCUAUAACUAGACAGUUAUUAAGAAAAGCAGAGGUCAAAUGACUUGUCCAAGACCACGCAGCCCAUAAAGAGCCUGCCUGUGUCCAAUAUACGUGCUUUCUCUAUAAUAUUUUCUUCCAAAGAAUACCUAAGCCUACAUGUAAUGCAGAAUAAAA